GUGCACCAGGCGAGAAUUUUUCACAAUGGGGGAAACCCUGAUGGAGCGACGCCGCGUGGAGGAUGAAGGCCUUUUGGUCGUAAACUCCUGUCAAACGGGAACAAGAAAGUGAUAGUACCGUUAGAGGAAGAGACGGCUAACUCUGUGCCAGCAGCCGCGGUAAUACAGAGGUCUCAAGCGUUGUUCGGAUUCAUUGGGCGUAAAGGGUGCGUAGGUGGCAUGGUAAGUUGAAGGUGAAAUCUCGGAGCUUAACUCCGAAACUGCCUUCAAUACUGCUGUGCUUGAGGACUGUAGAGGAGAAUGGAAUUCAUGGUGUAGCAGUGAAAUGCGUAGAUAUCAUGAGGAAGACCAGUGGCGAAGGCGAUUCUCUGGGCAGUUCCUGACACUGAGGCACGAAGGCUAGGGGAGCAAACGGGAUUAGAUACCCCCGUAGU
rnacentral:rRNA from 1 species